UACGGAGGGUGCGAGCGUUGUUCGGAUUCACUGGGCGUAAAGGGUGCGUAGGCGGUUUUGUAAGUCUUGUGUGAAAUCUUCAGGCUCAACUUGAAGACUGCACGAGAAACUGCAGGGCUUGAGUGUGGGAGAGGUGAGUGGAAUUCCUGGUGUAGCGGUGAAAUGCGUAGAUAUCAGGAGGAACACCUGUGGCGAAAGCGGCUCACUGGACCACAACUGACGCUGAGGCGCGAAAGCUAGGGGAGCAAACAGG
rnacentral:rRNA from 1 species